GGGGAGAUAUCUCUUAAAGGGUAUAAAUUUUUUCACUCAUUAGAUGAAUACGUUCUACAGGCCUAAUGUAUACUGUGGUGACUAUAGUUAACGUAUAAUUGAAAUUUUCUAAGAGAGUAGAUCUUAAGUAUUCUCAUCACAAAUUUAAAAAAGGUAACCAAGUGAGGCGAUGGAUAUGUUAAUUCACUUCAUUGUGACAAUCUCUUGGUGACAUGGUUUGUAUAUGUGUUCCCACCAAAUCUCAUGUUGAAUUUAGUUGGAGGUGGAGCCUGGUGGGGGGUAAUUGGAUCAUGGGGCAGAUUCUCAUGAAUGGUUUAGCACUACCCCCUUGGUGCUGUUCUUGUGGUGGUGUAUUAGUCCGUUCUCAUGCUAAUAAAGACAUACCAGAGACUGGGUAAUUUAUUAAAAGAAAAUAACUUUAAUGGACCCACAGUUCCACAUGGCUGGGGAGAUCUCACAAUGAUGGCAGAAGAUGACAGAAGAGCAAAGUCAUCUCUUACAUGGAGGCAGGCCAGAGAGCUUGUGCAGGGGAUCUUUCAUAAAACCAUCAGAUCUUAUGAGAUAUAUUCACUACCAUGAGAACAGUAUGGGGGAAACCGCUUCCAUGAGUCAAUUACCUCCACCUGGUCACACCGUUGACACAUGGGGAUUAUUACAGUUCAAGAUCAUUUGCUCCAGGGGAAGCCUGCUGCCAUGUCUUGCAGACAGUCAACCCCCUGGAGAGACUCCUGUGGUAAGGAACCAGGGCUCCUGGCAAUAGCUUCUGAGUGAGCCACCUUGAGAAUGGAUUUUCCAGGAACUUCAUCUUUUGAGAAGCACCAGGGAGAGCUGCCUAUGCCUGGCAGAAGCUGCCCAUGCCCCACUGAUACACAGUACUUCCCGUUCUGCUCAGUAAUCCUGCUUCUUUCUGCAAACAACUGUGAUUCUCCACCUGGGAGCUUCCUCUGGCCACAGGAGCCUGCUUACCUGAAUUAGACACCCCAGAAGUACUG
rnacentral:lncRNA from 13 species